GAUUCCGGCCACCUCACCGGCCGAGCUUGGUAUCGAUCUGAAGCUUGGAAGCCGAUCGUCAUAACCCAGUCGUCAUCGUCGCCAGAAAACGGCAAGAACACCGACGAUCGAAGCUCGAAAAGACGCGGCAAAAACCCAUCGUCAUCGCCAUCUAUUUCGCCGGAGUUUGGGCAUGCCCCCAGCUGGGUUCUACUCCUCACGUCACCAGCAUCAUUU
rnacentral:lncRNA from 1 species